UACAGAGGGGGCCAGCGUUAUUCGGAAUUAUUGGGCGUAAAGGGCGCGUAGGCGGCCUUUCAAGUGACGGGUGAAAUCCCUCGGCUUAACCGAGGAACUGCCUGUCAGACUGGAAGGCUUGAGACCGGGAGAGGUGAGUGGAAUUCCCAGUGUAGCGGUGAAAUGCGUAGAUAUUGGGAGGAACACCAGUGGCGAAGGCGGCUCACUGGACCGGUACUGACGCUGAGGCGCGAAAGCGUGGGGAGCAAACAGG
rnacentral:rRNA from 1 species